UACGUAGGGGGCAAGCGUUGUCCGGAAGUCAUUGGGCGUAAAGCGCGCGGUAGGCGGCCCGGUAAGUCCGCUGUUAAAAGUCCAGGGCUCAACCCUGGAAAGCCGGUGGAUACCUGUCGGGCUAGAGCCCGGAAGAGGCGAGUGGAAUUCCUGGUGUAGCGGUGGAAUGCGCAGGAUAUCAGGAGGAACACCGGAUAGGCGAAGGCAGCUCGCUGGGACGGUACUGACGCUGGAGGCCGCGAAAGCGUGGGGAGCGAACAGG
rnacentral:rRNA from 1 species